UACGUAGGGGGCAAGCGUUGUCCGGAUUUAUUGGGCGUAAAGAGCGUGUAGGCGGCCUUACAGGUCAGCUGUGAAAACUCGAGGCUCAACCUCGAGACGUCGGUUGAAACCGUAUGGCUAGAGUUCGGUAGGGGAGACUGGAAUUCCUGGUGUAGCGGUGAAAUGCGCAGAUAUCAGGAGGAACACCGGUGGCGAAGGCGGGUCUCUGGGCCGAUACUGACGCUGAGGAGCGAAAGCGUGGGGAGCGAACAGG
rnacentral:rRNA from 1 species